UACGUAGGGGGCAAGCGUUGUCCGGAAUCAUUGGGCGUAAAGCGCGUGUAGGCGGUCCGGUAAGUCCGCUGUGAAAGUCGGGGGCUCAACCCUCGGAUGCCGGUGGAUACUGUCGGGCUUGAGUACGGAAGAGGCGAGUGGAAUUCCUGGUGUAGCGGUGAAAUGCGCAGAUAUCGAGAGGAACACCAGUGGCGAAAGCGGGUUUCUGGGCGACACCUGACGCUGAGGCACGAAAGCCAGGGGAGCAAACGGG
rnacentral:rRNA from 1 species